rnacentral:lncRNA from 1 species
AGUGCUAAAUAUGACAUGCAUGAAAGUAUUCUCAUAGACAUGGUCAAGGGGAUGCUUGUCUUGCUCAACAAAGUCUCCGGGGUAUUCAAAGUCUUUUGGCCCAAGUCCCUCGUCAGCAAUGCAAUGUAUCAUCGCAAUAUAAAUGGGCAAAAAUAAGCACUCAACUAAAAACAGAGAAAAUAAUCUACUCAGAAAAAUGUCACACCUUUUUUCUAAA